UUGCAAUGUGCGAAAGCACGACAAGGUUAAUCCGAGUGGUUUCUGCUAAAGAAACCUUUUGUCAGUCCUAGAAACACUAACGAAUAAGGGGUGGGCAAGUUCUGGUGUCAGCCGCCGCGGUAAAACCAGCACCUCAAGUGGUCAGGAUGAUUAUUGGGCCUAAAGCAUCCGUAGCUCGUUUUGUAAGUUUUCGGUUAAAUCCAUGCGCUUAACGUAUGGGCUGCCGGGAAUACUGCAUAACUAGGAAGUGGGAGAGGUAGACGGUACUCGGUAGGAAGGGGUAAAAUCCUUUGAUCUAUUGAUGACCACCUGUGGCGAAGGCGGUCUACCAGAACACGUUCGACGGUGAGGGAUGAAAGCUGGGGGAGCAAACCGG
rnacentral:rRNA from 1 species